GUGCACCAGGCGAGAAUUUUUCUCAAUGGGGGCAACCCUGAAGGAGCGACGCCGCGUGGAGGAUGAAGGCUUUCGGGUUGUAAACUCCUGUCAUUUGAGAACAAGUGUUAGCAAGUAACUACUGCUAGCUUGAUAGUAUCAGAAGAGGAAGGGACGGCUAACUCUGUGCCAGCAGCCGCGGUAAUACAGAGGUCCCAAGCGUUGUUCAGAUUCAUUGGGCGUAAAGGGUGCGUAGGUGGCGCCGUCAGUGGGGUGUGAAAUCUCGGGGCUUAACUCCGAAACUGCAUUCCAUACUGCGGUGCUUGAGGACUGGAGAGGAGACUGGAAUUUACGGUGUAGCAGUGAAAUGCGUAGAGAUCGUAAGGAAGACCAGUGGCGAAGGCGGGUCUCCGGACAGUUCCUGACACUGAGGCACGAAGGCCAGGGGAGCGAACGGGAUUAGAUACCCCGGUAGU
rnacentral:rRNA from 1 species